CACACAGUUUCUAGCACAGAGGAAGAAACAUGUGGCCAGAUGUGGGGGGAAAAGAUAAAGGCAAAGCAUUUCUUAGUUUUCAGAAGGGAAUUAGCUAUUUAGAGCUUUGCUUUGACUCAAAAUCUAUAUGGGAAUAUUUUUAUAUGUUUAUUUUCCUGAGAGAUCCUGGCAAUUCACACAAACAGAAAGCAAGAGGCAGUACUACAGCUAACCUGAGCAUCUGCUGGCCAACCACACAACAUCCGUCACUUGAGAAGACCACAAGGACUCAAAGCUUGCACAGCAAGAGGCCGGCCCGAGAUCAGAUGCUCCCAGGCAAAAGCCAACCCACUCCUCCCAUGAUGAAGCCAUGCCUGCCAACUGGGGAACUUGACUUAGCUCCACAAGCAGCAAUUGUCCAGGAAAAAACAAACAAACAAACAAACAAACAAACAAUGCUGUCCUUGUCUGCCUACUGCAGCCAGCCCAAACUGUCCUACAGUGGAGAGAUGGAGGAGAGGACCAUCGGCUGUCCCACCACAGAGCAGUCUCCCUGCACAGUGGCAGCAUGCCAUUAGAGCCACUUAGGAUAACAAGCCCUGUAUAAACAGAUUAUCUAACAGGAAAGCUUUGCCAGAAACGCUUUGUCUUCUGGAACAGGCUUCUAAUGUUUCAGUAACGCAGAAGGUGAAUAAAAGUUUAGAAGCAGCAGAUCUAAAAUCUUUGAAGAAAUAGCAUUUGUUAUGAAAAAUAAUAUUGCAGUACAGAACUCUGCCUGUGUAGCCUUGACUGCAAGCCUUUCAUAGGUCUGGUGUUUUAUUACAAGGGAAGUAUUAAGCACCUGCGAACAUCAGCGGAACAUAAGCAAGGAAUUUGUUCGACAGGAAUUCCUAUGAAUUUUUCCAGCAGAAGAGGACAAAGUUACAGCUUUCCAUAUGGUCCAGUGAAAUUAAACCAACCCUUACAGCAUGCAUUGCUGAAACCGCACAGGGCGGUUCGAACAGCUGGAUGCCAGCAGCUUUAUGAACAUCGUUACCCGGUCAGCCGUCACGUCCCCUCGGUCAGCAGCCGACCGUACCCCAGCAGAGAGCUCAAGCCAUGCAGGAGGGAGCAGGGAGAUGCUCCCCGGCCUGGGCUGUCUGCGGGGCUCCGCUCAGCCCCACACCAUUUCUCUGCCUGCCCCAGCCACCAGUAGAGCUGCUGGGGGGCUCGUGGCAGGCAGCAAAGCCCACUAAAUAACCCUGGAUCAUAACGAGCAGCUCAAGAGGGCAGUGAACUGCAGAGCCCAGGCAGGAAAAGUGGCUGGGGAGCCCAAGAAGGUGAUUUUUGCUUUUGCCCCUGAAGAAACAUUGGUGAAUCGAUGCCCUUGGGAUGUCUGAGUCAGACAAGCUGAUCUUGACAGAGAUGGGAUGGAGAGUGCUCACUUUAUCGACAGCCCCAAGAAAUCUAUCUGCAGCUCUUUGUAAAAGCACACAAACCGAGUGCACAAACAGAGCUGUCCGAAAGGCAGAGCAUCUGAACUGAAGCCUUAAAGUUCUGAACUAAGAACAAAAAACAACCCCAGAAUGCACAUUCUCAAUUAGCUGUAGCUGUAUUUAACUGUGGUCAGCUUAAAUAAAUCACUUCAAACACUCUCACCUAAAUAUACAGGCUGUUCGUUACAGAUUGGUCAAGUUCACUAAUUUUGUUUGAAGGAAUUCAGAUCCUUAAAAUAAAUAAAUAGAUAAAUAAAUAAAAAGCUGCUGGAUUUGUCACAAAAAGAAAAUAUCAAAUUUUGAUGCUCACUUUCCAAAUUUGUAUCCACCUUGACAGAUUAUUUUCAUAAAAAAGGGCAAGAUGCAUGAGGUAUGCUGUAAUAUUUUCAAAAUUAAAAGCUGAAGCAUUGUUCCAGGACCAAAUUUAUUUCAGUUUAAACAUUGGGAAACUGAAAUAGUAUAAAAUAUUUAGGGUUUGAGUAAUUAUUUAACUUGAAACAAAUAUCCCAUUAGUUUACAUUACAGUUUGCAUUUUUAAUUCUUUCACGUCACCAUAAUAACUAUACCCAUUAUUAUUAAUCUAGUAUUCUAUAAUAUUUUAUUACAUUUACACUCAAGGAUGGAAAUUCCCAAUCAAUUAUUUCUACAUCUAAGGGAUAACUAUUUGCAGUGUAUAUGCCUCACUUCCUUCUCCUCAGUCUACAUUCAAGCUGUAUUGUCAAUGUCCUGCAUCCUCAGAAAACUUCUCAUAAACAUACCAUCAAAACUGCAGAAAACACCUUAAUUUUAGGUGUUGAUAAACCAACUAUGUGUGUAACAAAGCGUAACAAAACAAAAAAGCAGAAACAGAAGAAGCAUAAAGCACUCUCAGAUGCGUUUGGUACUUUUAUUGCUCUAGAGAAUGAAAGUCAGGCCUAGGCCUAUAAAUGAGAGCAUCAUCUGGAUGAUAAAUCAAGGACCAUUUUUUUCUUUAAUUUCAACAAGAACAAGCCUAGAGCUGAACAAAAUUAGGAAUUAUAGACCUGAUGUAGAUAAAAUUAUCUGGCAGCUGCUACGUGGAAAAUUAUAACAGAUUAUCACAGUGGUACUCAGUGGCCUUAAAAUCCUUGAAUUUAUUAAAACAUUAUGAAGAGAUAAGACAUGCAGUCAAACCCUUGGAAAUUAAAUUUAGACAUAGAAAACAUUUAGUUGUUUCAGUCCCUAUCACGUGUUUCCCACCCCUUCUUGAAACGGAAGGUAAAAAGAUGUGAAGAUCUCGGGUCCUCUUUUCGGAUGGGCUAGCUGGACAAUGCUCCACAGCGGCCACAGAAACCAUGCUGACACACAGCCAGCGCACGUGCUUCUCAUGUGGAAGUCAUCCAUUUGCUUUCUGAAUGGUUGCAUUAUAAAGGAAAAACUGCACUACAAGGUGCAGUGUGCUGUGAGCUAUCCUAAAGGAAUAAAAUUCCACCUUUCCCUAUUUUGUCAGUAUGAAAACAAGAUAUGCUAUAAAAUAAAAAAAAAAAAAAAAAAAGAGAAAAAAAUGAAGUUGGGGGAAAAAAAGCGCAGUUUGUAAAUAUCCUAAUAAAAAAAAUUCAGAGACAGCUCUUUUACUGCUCCCCUCAGAAUACAUGGCGAGUAAGGAAAUUUCAAACAAAAUAUUUGUCUGUUCCAUCACUCAAAGGAGAAAAUCCCAUUUUGCCAUUGAGGCUACCGGGGGUGGUGUUCGGCCAUAUGGCAGACAGCUGGGGAGGGUAACAGCUUAAGCCACUGCUGCUGAAUUCACUAAACCCAUCUGACAGUCCUGUGUUCACCAUAUGUAAAACAUGGAAGAUAAUUCUCUCUUUCCUUUGACUGCCUGCAUAGAUUACAAAUACUUCAUGACACCUUUUUCUCUUUUUUUUUCUCCCAGAGAGAUACACCUGAGAGAAAAGCUGCCAUGAAUUAUUUGUAAUCCAUGCAGGCAGUGGAUGUGAUUUUUUCCCAUCUGCUCACAUAGUAGAAUACAGCCUGCUACACCAUUCAGGGCUUCUAGGUACCAAAUGACAACUACAUAGGUAAGUUGUUACUAAAUCUUCCCCAUUUUCAAUGAGAAAUACAGGCUCCUGUUGGAUUGACUGCAUGCGGGGUUUCACAUGCAGGCACCAAUGUAGUGUGCUGCAGGUCCCCGUGAGCUGAACACAGCUCUUCGUCAGCAAACUUUGGGAAAUAAAACUGAGGAUGUGCAAAGUAAACAUGCCAGGAAGCUAGCACCUGACAGGAAGUUUGCCAGAAACACCAGAGAGAAGAGCAUCCAGAGUCU
rnacentral:lncRNA from 1 species